UGUGCGAAUUUAGCGCCUCAUCUAAUGAUUUGCAAUAUCCAAAUGACCUUAAUCGAUAGGUCUACGUUAGGUCUGUAUAGGUCCACCAAAAUUUUCGUUAGGUCCCCUAUAGUUUUUUUAUAAAUAAUUUUUUAAAUUUUGCAAUAAAAAAAAUUUCAUUUUAGCACCUCAUUCAGAACGAAACCAAUAAACUUGAUCAUUUUUGCAUUUCUUAUCGUUAGGUCCGGAUUGGUCUCUAGUUUUUGCAUUGAUAUUAUUCAUUAUAUUUGUUUUAUUAACAAUUAUAAAUAAUUUAUUAUCCGCGCAUGCGCUCAACACUAUUCAUAGCUUGGCGCGAAAUUUCUAGUUUACCUGUCUUGUUUACAUUGUAUUAAUAAAAAAACAAUAAAUAUACAUCAACUAUUCUCAUAAAGCUUAAUUAAUUAUAAUCUACAAUUACUCCCAAUGAGAAUUUUACUUGUUGCUCACAUGUAUAUGAGUAAACAUAUGUCAGUAUAUAUAAGCCACACAACAAUGAAGUGCAUAGACUUUGGAGUGUAUAAACAUCUGUACAUUCCUUGACUCUAUAAUAUAACCUAUAUAUGCGUUUAUGGUGUAGGAAAGCUUGUGUGUACGCUAUUUUUUAUUAAUUUACUCAACUCUUUGUUUAAAUAUUGUCUAAUAUCAAAUGUAUUGUGCUCACAAUGGUGGAGUGUCUCACAUGCAAGAUUAUUUCAAGUUUUGCCACAGGAUCAAAAACUUGCUCAAGUUUUAGAUCAAGCUGGAGUUCAUAUGUGGCCGAUGGUCAACAUCAUAAUCCUAACAGUAUUCGUGAAGUUGCUAAAACUGUGAUAAAAUGAUGACAACAACUUGUUCACUGUGCUGAAGAACGACAUAAACCUGUAUCUGCCAGCAUUUAUUUUUAUAAUGUCUUAUAAGACACUUUAACAAGUAAGAUCUGUGCUGGACAGUUUGGAGCAUGAGUAUUGUCAUGAUGAAGAAUGGUGUUUUGCUGGAGAAAAACGUAAUCAAGUACCAAUGUCUAUUGAUAAACAUCAACUACAAAAUGAAGUUUUUUUUUAAAGCUUGGACUCUGGUACGGCGAAUCACAGAAAAAUUUUUUAAGUAUACAAAUAGAAGCUUACAAGUUUAUAGCUAUGAAACCAUCAGUAGUGGAUCUGAAAAUAAGAUUAAAAAUAUUUUUGAAGAAUUAUUAUGUAAAGAAAAUAAAGCAUUAGAACAUUGGACGCACCGUAAAAAACGGUUUAAUGAUUAUCACCAAUACGUUAUCUCUAAACAUAGUGCUAAACAAGCUUUAGAAUGGAUACGUGGAACUGGUGAAUUGCACUUUGCUAUUUAUACUAAUGUUGGAAAAAUUCAUUUUGAAAAUGAAAAGCUUCUUCAACAACAUAACCAAUUCAAAGGAAAGAAGAGGAAGAGUAAAAUUAUUGGUACAACUGGCCGACAAUUUAAUAAAAAAAAAAGGACACGCUCACGCAACAGCCAUAAAAUCUGUUGCUGAUUUAUCAGUGUUAUAAACAUUUCAGUAUGCGCAUGGGUUGUUUCAAAACACAAGAUAAAGAUGACCUAAGAAUUAAAUUUGAUGAUGGUCUAAGAGAUUUAUCAAUAGAUCGCAAUUCAGACCCAUCACUAGAAAAAAAAAAAAAACUGAUUCGUUAUGGCUGAAUUAUUACAAAGUGAAUAAACUUAUGUCAAAAAUUUAGAGACGCAUAUUCGGUGUUUCUUAAAAGAAACGUGAAAUGAAUGUCGCAAUGCCCCAUCAGAAUUAUUGUGAAUCAAUUAUAUUUUGUAAUAUGGAAGAAAAUCAUCACUUUCAUAGCAAUAUAUAUAUGUACACAAACAGGAAAAAUAUGAAACAAUGCCAGAAGAUGUUGGUCAUUGCUUUGUCACUUGGGCAGCUAAAGUUGACUACACAAAAUGCCAAGAAAACCAAAAGUGUCUGUGAAUCAAGCAGUAGAAUUAUUGAAAGAGUUUAUAUUAUCGGGUGAAUUUAAAGACAAUAAUUUUCCAAUAAAAAGUUCCGAGGUAUGGAUAAAAAUGAGUCAGCGGUUAGACGAUAUAUAAAAAAAGAACCACUUUAUUAGCUACACUGUUUGAUGACAAAAUUGAAGACAAAAGUAAAACAUCACCUUUAUAUGACAGACAAUUGAACAUGUGAUCUAGCAUCACUGAAAUUUGGCAAAAAUGUUUUCCUUCAAGUGCGUGUUUCAGGUGCACUUGUAAAUUAUGUGGGGAAUAUCGAACAUCUAUUCCAAUAAUUCAAGUGAACUACAAAAUAAUUUGGGAAAACGGAUUCAGCCAACUAAAAGAAUCAAUUUGCUCAUUUGACUGUACAAUACGAUGUACAAUACGUUCUGUUUUAUUUAAUAAAUGCAUAUGUAUUGAAUUAGAUGUCAGAAUGUACCAAAGUAAACCUCUACAAUGCAAAUUAAUAACUUUUCCAUCAGUUAUGCAAUUAAAUAAUAAAAAUUAUGCGUUGCGAGGGAUUAUUGAAAUUAAUAAUGGGAAUUUUGUAGCAUACUGUAGAAGCUAUAACAAUAAUUGGAAAUUACACAAUGAUACUGCUUCAAAAAUACAACCUGUUCCACAUUGGAAAGAGAUAGUACCAAACGCUGCUAUUUACACUAGGGUUGAUUAAAUAAUUAAUUAUUUUUGUGCGUCAUUGAGUAGUAACUAAUGUUAUAAGUAUUUAAGUGCAAUUUUAUUAACCCAUAUAAGAUAAAAUUUAAUAUAACAACAAAUUUUUUAUUACAUAAAACAUCGUUGUAACAAUAAAAGUUUUAUCAAACAUUGUUAUCGAUUUUUGACUAUACUUUAGAAUUGUUAAAGUCUAUUAUUUUAUUAUAUCUAUGUUUUAAAAUAAAAUGUUUUGUCUUGUAA